rnacentral:sRNA from 1 species
CACGCCAAUAUUAUCUCCUGCCUCUGCGUCAGUGAAGACAGGCGGUGGAUUGCCACAGCAGACAAAGGGCCAGACUGCCUGGUGAUUAUAUGGGACUCCUUCACAGGUAUUCCUGUGCACACAAUAUUUGACAGCUGCCCUGAAGGGAGCGGCAUCAGGGCCAUGGCCAUGACCCACGACGCCAAGUAUCUGGCAACCAUCUCAGAUGCUGAAGUCCAGAAGGUAUGCAUCUGGAAGUGGACUUUGGCAGUGGAAACGCCAGCAUGCACUCUCGAACUCCCCACAGAGUACGGUGUUCAGAACUAUGUUACUUUUAACCCAACAAAUAAUAAAGAAUUGGUGAGCAAUAGUAAAACAUGGGCAAUAUAUUAUGCAUGGGUAAGUAGAAAUAUUUUGAUUUGUUUUAAAUGUGGGUAGAAGUAUGUGUUCAUUCUUUGAGUACGAAUGUUUCAGUAAUGUAACAAUAUAGUAUCUCUACUUAGGAAGCAAUGAAUAUAUAUUAAAAUGUUUUAAUUUAACUAUAGUAUU